AUGUCUGUGUGUUUCCUUUUCCAGAUAACUGAAUUGUGUUACACUUUUGCUUGGGUUUCUGUUUAGGCACAAUGGCACAGUAAGAUUCUGAAAAUAAAAUAUUACUUUUGACAAACAAGAUCCUUCACUAGAGCACUCAACACGGUUCUUGAAAAUAAAGCUGUUUUUGAUAAUAGUGAAUGAAAGUGAGUGAAAGUCAAAUACUCUUCUGGAUUUUAAAAAGACCCCUGACUAGAAAUAGUUAUUUCUGACUAGAAAUAAUCCUGAAAACAAGAUCCUUUUCUAGCUAACCACUUGCUGUGUGAACACAGACAUACUAUUUAUAAACCAUCAUUUAUGGCUUAAUGUGUUUAUGAUUUAUUCAAUAAAAUUUGGUUAAAAGGCACCAUUUGGCAUGAUACAGAGUAUUCUCUGGGGAUCUGAUGUAGUAUUCUGCAGGUGCUUUCUGGAAAAAUCCAAGUGUAGUUCUGGUUCCUUUCAAGCAGUGUAUCUAUUACCUCACAAUCAAAAUUGCAAGACCACAGUGGCAUCAUGGCCUCGCAUCUAUGUUUAAACAUUGUAGUUACACAAUUUCAGUUGGCUGCACUAUUGAAGCCUAUUAAAGGAAUUAGAACAGUCCUGCCCUAUUGUCUACAGAGCAUAGCAGGUCAGCAAGUUCAAGCCACAAACUAUUUAGCAAAAAAUGUAUUUUCUUUUCCUACAAGCCAGUUUAAAUGGUGUGCUAAGAACCAAUAUGCUUACAAUAAAAAUAACAGGAAGAGCA